GUGGGGAAUCUUGCGCAAUGGGCGAAAGCCUGACGCAGCCAUGCCGCGUGAAUGAUGAAGGUCUUAGGAUUGUAAAAUUCUUUCACCGGGGACGAUAAUGACGGUACCCGGAGAAGAAGCCCCGGCUAACUUCGUGCCAGCAGCCGCGGUAAUACGAAGGGGGCUAGCGUUGCUCGGAAUUACUGGGCGUAAAGGGCGCGUAGGCGGAUCGUUAAGUCAGGGGUGAAAUCCCAGAGCUCAACUCUGGAACUGCCCUUGAUACUGGCGAUCUUGAGUGUGAGAGAGGUAUGUGGAACUCCGAGUGUAGAGGUGAAAUUCGUAGAUAUUCGGAAGAACACCAGUGGCGAAGGCGACAUACUGGCUCAUUACUGACGCUGAGGCGCGAAAGCGUGGGGAGCAAACAGGAUUAGAUACCCGGGUAGUCC
rnacentral:rRNA from 1 species